UGGGUAGACCACUUUCUUCUUCCAUCACUACUUCUGGUUGGUUGUAGUCUCCUAUUCCAAACAAGAGGAUGGAAGAACAAGAUAAGGAGACUCUGACAACCUUCAGUGAAGUGAAGUUCUUCAGAAGUAGUUCGUUCUUGGAUCCAGUUGUGGAAGACAUAUCUCUUCUGGAUCAGAUUUGGAGGAUGAAGCAGUUCUUCCGC
rnacentral:lncRNA from 1 species